rnacentral:rRNA from 1 species
AUUGAACGCUAGCGGGAUGCUUUACACAUGCAAGUCGAACGAGUGGCGGAAGGGUGAGUAAUAUAUCGGAACGUGCCCAGUAGCGGGGGAUAACUACUCGAAAGAGUGGCUAAUACCGCAUACAGUUGAUGCGGCCGUAACCGGCUUAGCUAGUUGGUGGGGUAAAGGCUCACCAAGGAAACGAUCCGUAGCUGGUUUUAGAGGACGACCAGCCACACUGGGACUGAGACACGGCCCAGACUCCUACGGGAGGCAGCAGUGGGGAAUUUUGGACAAUGGGGGAAACCCUGAUCCAGCCAUCCCGCGUGUAUGAGAAGGCCUUCGGGUUGUAAAGUACUUUUGGCAGAGAAGCGGUAUCUGCAGAAUAAGCACCGGCUAACUACGUGCCAGCAGCCGCGGUAAUUC